UGCUUUUGGAACUUCAUCAAAGGUAGAGCCUGCCCGGUGAGACAGUAGUUAAACGGCGGCUUUAGCGUGAUUGUCCAAAGGUAGCAUACAAUGUGCCUUUUAACUGGUGGCUGGAAUGAAAGGUUGGACGUGGGAGUAGCUGUCUUCUGGGCACAUAUAGAACUUAUCUUAGAGGUGAACAGACCUUUUUUUGGCUUCGGGACGGGUAGACCCCGAUGAGCUUGAUAGCGGUGUGUAGUUUUGCGCCAAGGGCAAUUAACUUGGCGCUUUAUUGCGCCUUCUUCGGUUGGGAAAACCGGGGGGAUGAGUGAAAUCCUGCUUUUGUUUGGUUUAGAUGUGUUUGUAAAGACCUCUGGAGAGGGAAAUUUGAAAGAGAAAAGUUACCGCGGGGAUAACAGCAUUGUCUCCUCAGAGAGAAUACAUUGAAGAGGGGGUUUAUGACCUCGAUUUUGGAUCAUUUGAUUCUGGGUGAUAUAAGGGGUCACUUUGUGAGGGACUGUUCG
rnacentral:rRNA from 1 species